CAGUCACGUGAGUCUCAUGUUCCGUGUCAUUGCUGACUUUGCAGCAACUUUCUCCUCCCAACCCCUCCACAGGAGGAGCUGGAAAUAACAGUGCAUGGUGGGACAGUGAAGAGAGAGGAGGCACGGAGGUGGAGUCUGACACAAGGCUGGGGUCAGAGGGGAGCCAGGCCAGGCGCCUGUCACCUGGGCAGCCACCUGGCCCCUGAGACCAAUUUCCAGCCCUGCCUCUGGCAGAGGUCCUGAUUCUCAGAUGCUUUGCAACCAUGAUUACAGAGUAAGUGUUAAAAUUAGGAUUUUCCUCAUUCCGCACUGUUUAUAUCAGACUCCAAGCAGCCUGUAAAUACUCCCCCCUCCCACUUUCCCCUCCGCCCACUUCCUUUCUGACCACAUCCUUUUCUUUUUGGCGCACAAGGAGGCAUUUUUCCUAUUGCAGAAAAGAUCAUUUGCAGUGUUUUUCAAGAGUCAUCAGUGCAGAGACAGGCUUCAUGUUUGUUACCACUCUUGCGUCCUGUUUAGGUUUUCCACUAGACUGCAUGCGUCCUGAGGACAGGCUUUGCUGCAUCUUCAGUACCUCCAGAAGAGCCCAGAACAGGUGCUUCCUUCAAGCAGCGCAAUGAAUGGGGCAAGUGUUUCUGGAAGAGCAGGUAGGGCUGGCUGUGAGAUGGAGUUUCACUCUUUCACCCAGGCUGGAGUGCAAUGGCACGAUCUCGGCUCACUGCAGCCUCUGCCUUCCAGUUUCAAGCGAUUCUCCUGCCUCAGCCUCCCAAGUAGCUGGGAUUACAGGCGCCCGCCACCAUGCCGGCUAAUUUUUGUAUUUUUGAUAGAGACGGGGUUUCACCAUGUUGUCCAGGCUGGUCUUGAACUCCUGACCUUGUGAUCCACCUGCCUCAGCUCCCCAAAAUGCUAGGAUUACAAGCAAGAGCCACCGUGCCCAGCCCACCAUCUCCAUUUUGCAAAGGAGGAAACUGAGACACAGUGACACCAAGGAUGACAACUGGAGUAAACCAUGGAGGCAGGAUUCUCACCCUAACAGAUACCUCAACAGGCCAAAUUUAAGUACUUGUGGAAGGAAAACUACCAUGUCUUGAGCACCUAGCGUACUUCAGGCACCAUGUUAGGUACUUUGUAUGGGUUAACUAAUUUGGUCAUCGUAAGUCCUUGUGAAGGGGGCACUGUAAGUCCUGUGUUACAAAUGCAACAACUUAGAUGGAGAGAAGUUAAGUAAUGUGUCUCUCUUUGCCCAGCUUGUAAGUGGCAGAGCUGGGACUUAAACCCAGAGGAGACAUACACAUGACUGUGUUGUGUUGUCAAUUUUUAAAAGUUACAUUACUUAAUUGAUUGGUUAAUUCUUUUAACGUGUGAUGUUUGAAAUGUGUAGGCAUCUAAGACAGUAUGUGGGCAGGGGGUGGGCAGGGAGACACACAAAGAUGACUCUGACCUGGCUACUAGCAGGCAUAAGCCGUAAGUAAAUGACUACAGUGCAAGGAGGAAUGGGAGGAGUGCCGCUCAGGCUGGAGAGCAUUCUGGGGUGCUGGGGAUGGCAGAGGGUACUUGUGUCUGCUGCUUUUACCUUCUGCACCCUGGGGAGGGUGGUUCAGAAGUCAGCCUGCCCCAACGCAAAGCCCAGGCUGCAGAUGCUUUGACCCAAUUCUGCUCAAGCUGUUGGUCAUCUCCUUCCAACACUCAAGAGACUGGCUUUUGUCCCUGGAUGGAUCAUCUCUGCUCUGAUGAUUCUGGCAUCCAUGUGAGAACCAGCAGGGGAACAGCUAUGCAACAGAGGCCUCUGGAACCUCACGCUCUUUAGAUGUUAAAUUGAAAUCAGGUGCUUUAUGACUCGUCUGUAUUCAGGAGCCCAUCAACGCUGCAUGGGAACUGCUGUGGAUUCAAAAGGAACACCAGUGUCAUCCCUGCAUGGCCCUUUACUCCACUGUGCUCCAUGUUCUCCUCACUCCCUCCCAAGGGAGUUUUCUCCCAUCUGCAGACCCUGCUGGGUGGGGCAGAAAGAGCACUGGGUUUGGACUCAGAAGAUCCAGGCCCACUAUCUGGUCUGUCACUCAGCAGCAUGACUGUCACGAAGGCUCUCCUAGGCCUCAGUCUUCUGAGCAGUAAAAUGGGAUAAUAAUGCCUUCUUGCAGAGCUGCCAUGUGGGUUACAUGAGAAGUAUGUGGAACGGUAGGUGUCACACUUACUGCAAUUUCCAGGCCUCACGGACUGGCAUACAGCUAUGGCCAAGUCAUUCCCACCCUUCAAUCCUCUGUGAAGGGCUUCCUGACUGUUCCAGCCUGCCUGACUUCUGGAGGGAUGUAGGACUGACCCGAAGUAUUUGGCCAACCACGGGGAGGGGCAGAGGGGGCAGACACUGGGUGAAUCUGGGCUUUGGGCUGUGUGGGGCUAGUGGGCUCCUCCAGUGUACAAUUCUUGAGAGGCUUCCCAGUACUGGUAGAAUACCACCCAAACCUCUAAUGUGCUCCACACAGUCCUGCAUCCUCUGGCCUCUGACUCCCCAGCUUCAUCUCACACCACACUCCCCCAUGCUCUCAGUGUUCCACUGCAAACAGCUUUCCACCCCCAAUAGCUUUCCUUAUGGUCCUCCAACAUGCCAGGCUCUUCCCUGCCUCAGAGCCUCGGCAGACACUGUCUGGAAGGUACUUUUUCCCACUGCUCCCUUGGGCAACUGAGUAAUCCUUAGGUCUAAACCCAAGUGUCACUUCCUCUGGGAUACCUCCCCUGAUCCAUGCACCACCUCCUCCCACGCUGAACGAAACUAGGUCUCUGCUAUAGAACUGCAUCUUCUCCUGAUUCAUAGAACUUAUCACCAUUUGUAAUUAUAUACAUGUGAACCUAUUUAUGAUUUAAUGUGUCUCUCUUCGUGUGGAUUGGAACACCUUAACUGAUCACUGCUACUGACGAGGAUCCACCACAGCCUCGGAUAUAGUGGUAUUCCAUCAGCGUGUAUGAAGAGUGAAUGUCUACAUGAAACAGGUAGCGACAAGGGGCAAGAGGAUGGAGGAGAGUGGGAAGGGAGUGGUGGCAGUGAUGUGCCUGAGAGGUACCACGGUGGGCAGCAGGGAAAAAGCAGAGGGCUCUAGGAAGUGAAAGAAUGGGUCAGGAGGAAGACCUGAGAGUGGGCUGUUUGCAUUUAAGAUUUCAGAGGGGCAGCCAUGAAGCAUGGCCUGUUUUGAGGCUCCUAGGAAGGGGAAGAUGCAGCCUUGUGAUGGAGUUUUGUACAGUUAGGGCAUCCAGAGUGCCCUGGGACUGGGAACUGGCAAGGAAAUAAGAGAGAGCUCUGGAAUGGGGGGUGAGGGGGAGGGUACCGAUGGUGCCUAUGUCCCUGUGUUAUGGGGUGGCCCUGCACUCCAGAUGUCACCAGUAUCCCUUGGACUCAGUAGGAGGGAGCUCUCUCCAGGGAAAAGGGAACUCUGUUAACAUAACCGCGGUGGGGGUUAAAGAGCAGCUUUCCCUCAGUGGUACAGAGCCCUGUGGCUGGCAGCGCUGCACAGACUCCUCGAGACUCAGCUCCCACUGUCCCUGAGCCACACUGGGGCUCUUCGCCCUCCUGGCAGCAAUUAUAAAGUUGAACAGCAGAGGCAGGGGAGGAUCGAAAGCCAAACAGGAAGCCAAUAAUUGCCUCUUGCAGAAAUAGCUCUUUCAAAAUAAAAGUGAGGUCCUGAGGUUCCUACCCAGGUCAGUUAUACAAUGCUGCUCCUGUCCUCCCAGAGCCCUGUAAUCUUCUUCCCAGUGUCUACUUUCUGGCCCUGAACUCCAGUACAGGUCAAAAGAUGUCCAUGUGAAAACUAAGAAAUGAAAAGUCCAAUCCCCCAUGCAACACUUUUUAGGGCUUCUGAGCACGUAAACACAAACAAACAUACAACAUUUUCUAAGCCUGGUCAUCACAAUCAUCUGUCCACACACUGACACAUGAACCUUCUCAGGUUCCGGACAGGCAGAGCAAUGCCUCACUGAAACUGAACCCUUACUCAACAGGAAGACUAGGCUGAAAAAAACAAAACAGGGGAAGUAGGUGUCAGGAACCAAAGGAGGAGGCCACUCCAAGGACAAUGGAAUGAGAGCUCUCCAAGGUCACAGGCUAUUAACUCGGUCCUUUCAUGGGUAAAACUAACCCCUUUGAAGGGAAUGCAGUCCCAAUCAAAGUCAGUAAUAAAAGCCACCUCAGAGAUAUGGCUCAUGAGCCAUCAGUUCGAAUGAUUUCUUCACCACCUGCCAUGUGCUUGGUACUGUCCUGGGUGCAGGCGACAACAAGACUCAUGAAAUGGUGUCCCUGCUCUAAUUCUGGGACAGAAUUAGAGCAGAUCACUUCAAUACAAUGUGGGAUAUUUGGGGACAGAGACAUGUCAUCAGGGGCAGCAGCAAAAGCCAUCUGGCCAUCUGGGAAGAGGUGGAUGAUGGUGACCAUAAUGAUGGCUAGUGUUUAUUGAGGGCUUACUCUGUGCAGGUAUUGCUCAUGGCACUUCACAUGCACCAACUGAUCAAUCCUCACAACAACCCAGUGAAGCUGGUACUAACUUUAUUUCCAUUUUAAAGUUGGGGUGGGGGUGCGACUGAGGUUUGGGGAGGUGAAGAAACUGGCCUAGGGCAACACAGGAUUUGAACGUAGGCUGACUGGCUCCUGAGCAGCAUCCUGGGUGAAGGAUGAGCAGCAGAGGAGGAAGCAGCAUGAACAAUGGCCUCAAGGUGUGGCACGGGCAGGAAGGGUAGAACUACUUGUUUCUGUAUUUCUUAAACACAAUGUUGGGCCAAGAGUGAGGGAAGUCAAGGCUGAAGGGGAGGUGGUGGCCUUGACAGCUCCCCCAUGAAAGUCUGGUUGGGUUGGUGCAAGAAGGAUGGUGAUAUGGUUUGGCUGUGUCCCCACCCAAAUCUCAUCUUGAUUUCCUACAUAUUGGGGGAGGGACUCAGUGGGAGGUAACUGAAUCAUGGGGGCAGGUCUUUCUCUUGCUGUUCUCAUGAUGGUGAAUAAGUCUCACGAGAUCUGACGGUUUUAAAAAGGGGGAGUUCCCCUGCACAAGCUCUUUUUGCCUGCUGCCAUCCAAGACGUGAUUAGCUGCUCCUUGCCUUCCACCAUGAUUGUGAAGCCUGUCCAGCCAUAUGGAACUCUAAGUCCAAUAAACCUCUCUCUUUUGUAAA
rnacentral:lncRNA from 1 species